rnacentral:rRNA from 1 species
UCUAGGGUUGUAAACCUCUUUUCUCAGGGAAGAACAAAAUGACGGUACCUGAGGAAUAAGCAUCGGCUAACUCCGUGCCAGCAGCCGCGGUAAUACGGAGGAUGCAAGCGUUAUCCGGAUUUAUUGGGCGUAAAGCGUCCGCAGGUGGCAGUUCAAGUCUGCUGUCAAAGGUCGGGGCUCAACCCCGAACAGGCAGUGGAAACUGAACAGCUAGAGUACGGUAGGGGCAGAGGGAAUUCCCAGUGUAGCGGUGAAAUGCGUAGAGAUUGGGAAGAACACCGGUGGCGAAAGCGCUCUGCUAGGCCGAAACUGACACUCAUGGACGAAAGCUAGGGGAGCG